GCUGGAGGACCAACAAUGCUAGCAACGGCUGGAGAACCUUAAAAAGUUAAUCGUCUGUCACUCACACUCCCUGCCAGGUUUGCAGCAUGUACUUGUCUGUUUGCUAUGAGGUAAAAUAGGGUUCUAUCUGCUUUCAGAAGCGAACCCUUUUUUCUGCUCAUCUGAAUAGCUUCACUCUCUUCUGAAGGAGAUUCGGGGUAGAAGCCCUGUCUGUAAAGCCUCCAAGAGCAGUGUGGCAAGUUAGGGUCACAGGAAGAAGAAGCCUGCCCAAAGAGUCAUUGCUGGGAGGAAAAGGAGCAGAGCUGUUUGGGAAGCCCCUUCCUCCCUUGAAGAAUCUUCAUCUUGUUUACCACUUACAAGUGAAUGGCCACAUCUUUAGCACAACAGGUGGGUGAAGAGAUGCCACAACAAUGGAAUGAAUUGGUUCUCUUUUCCUUUGCCUUCAGCAGUUGCUUUCUUUUGAGUGCACUGAAAAUUCCUCCAUCGCUGGUGAAGCUCCUGUCCCUCUCAAAGUAGAACUUGCCUUGCCUGCAGGUCAAUUUGAUCCCACUAUCCAGCUGAAUGUUAACACUGUAGUGAAAGACAAGGCUUUAAAAUGACUCACUGUUGCUGGACACAUUAAUUUUUAAAGGAGAUUAUGAAAGUUAUUGGUGUGAAGCAUCUCUUCCCCUGGUGUAUGCACCGCAUAUACUUUCAACAAUGGAUUUAUCCAAAAAAGUAUUUAUCAGAAAUGGAAGUGAGAUGAGCAUACACAUCAUCAUGAACACCGUGAACUUCUUCCUGUAUUCAAAACAACAGCAACAAACAACUAUUGUCUGUCUCCAGUUAACCUUAUUCAAAACAGAAUUCAUAAACAGUUUGAAUUCA